AGAUAUCACACUAUAGGGAGUUGUUAUCAACAAUGAACUGUAAAAUUGGGAAGCUGACACUUGCCAGACUGCUGAUUGCCCAUGACACCUUAAUGUCAUAUACUGGCACUAGUCACAGAAAUGUUAGCCACCAUGCAGAAGUUCUUCAACUUUAUGACGAUUUAAAGAAAAUGGACCCAGCACAUCUCCACUACUACCAGGAUGAGUACAGUAUAGUACUUCUGAAACAGACAAUCUCCAAUCAAGAAU
rnacentral:misc_RNA from 1 species